AUGACAAUGCUGUCUGCAAAGAAGUUGCAAGUUUUUCAUUAUCACACACUCCUUACCAGCCAAAAUAUGCAUCUCAACAUGAAAAUAACACAAUCUGCUGAAUACAGGAAGGGAACGAUUUCUCACUCGAACGCUGUGUGUUUGAAAAGAAAGGAUUCUAAAAGGUUUGAUCUAAAGAACCAUUUUGAAAUACGUUACAUCACAAUAUCCCAGAGAAUAAUGCAAUUCCCCAAGAGAACUGAGUAUGGAGCUGGCAAUCUCUGAGGAUCUGUGGAACUUUUACCCUUUUGAAUGGAACGCAUCCUAUGAAACUUGGACUACUUCGAAUCUCCACCCAUGUAUGUGAGUAUCAGUAAUACCAAAUUCACAAGAUAAGCUUACUUACACAUCAGAACAUUCAACAAACCUAGCAACUCUGUUUUAAAAAAAUAAAGAUUAAAGACAAUGACUAUUCAAAGUCGCAUUUAAUUGUUAAACUUGCAUGCAAGCUGGGAAUUGAGUAGGCCACCUGGCAAUUUUACAAGGUGAAAAAACACUUUACUCAAUGAUGACAGUUUUGCUUGUACUUCUCUGGUGCAAAAUUUUACUAAUUAUUUGCUUCUGUGUUAAGAGUAUUA
rnacentral:lncRNA from 1 species